rnacentral:lncRNA from 1 species
AUGUGGCUCCAGCCCCAGAGGGAGGGAUCGCUGGGACUGGAGGCUGGGUUGUCCUCCAAGACCCUCUCUCCCUUCCAGAUCCCUCUAUUCCGUGCAGAUCCUGCCAGAGCCUGCGUGAUCAUCGCCUCCCCCACCCCUCCCUCCCCGACCUGGCCAGUCUCUUCUCUCAGGGAGGCACUUUGCGGAGGGGUCAGGGUUGGCGGCCCCUGGGUCCUCCGCCGUCUCCUGAUCUUCCGCCAGUCCCUCCACUCCUCCGCCCUGGGCGUGCCUUACGCAGGUGAACCUGAAGGCUCUCGGUGCGUCCUUUCACUCGUCUUCACCCGGCCAGUCUAUGCAGGCAGAGUAAGGCCAUGUAGGCGACCAUUCGGAUAAUCCAAUUUAAAAGAAACCCCCUUACAAAAAUCCAGCUAAGCGGGAGGAGCGAGGGAGAGCGCUCGCGCAAAUGUUUGUUGUGCAGAAUUCCCCUGUGUUUGUGCGCAGUCCCAACCCCACACAGUCUCCCCUGGAUCCUGAUGCGCUCCCGCAUUGUGAUGACUUCCAAAUCUGGGGUUUACCACGUGGUGACAAAUAAACAGGGGUACACUCCAAACCCACUGGAUGACUAUGUGUGCGCGCGCACGAAGGAGCUUUUGUACAUGCAAUACCCUCAGGGCAGAAAGCGCUAAAGGCUCCCCUGAACUCUAGGACACUACCUGAGGGGGACUCUGGGGAGGACAGGCUGGCUUCCCAGGAGACACUGCAGAGCGAUGACAAAUCCACCUGCAGGUGGUGACAACUCUAGGAAGCCCCGCUCACCUCCUGAGUUCGAGAAAGCCCCUUUAAAGGUAGUCCGCCUUCUGCAGACACUCCUCUCCACUCCCGACCUUAUGAAAAUACGGCCCUAGUGGAGACAAUCAAUCUGAAAAGCUUCACUCGGUCUCUGUUAUCCUAGGUUGUGCCUUUCCUUUAGGGAGUUCAAGCUUUCUGUAAAUGGCUAAUUACCUUAGGGUGAUCCCAAAAUAAAAUGGUAGGGGUGGGCUAGAGAAGAGUGUGCUCAAGUGAAAUCGACAACUAGUUAUGUCGUCCCUGGAAGAGAGUCUGAAGACAUCCUGGUAAUUUCCCGUAAGAAAUCUGGUUUUACUGGUGGAUCUCCAUAGAAUUCUUUGCCUAGAGGCUAGAAAUGAGUAAUAGGUCGUGUGUCUCCAAGGCCUGGGCUAAUGUGAUACAUACUUUCAAGAAGAGCAUCGGGGUGUUUACAAUUAGUACCUAAAUUUCUUGUUUGAAAAAAAAAAAAAACCAAAAUCCCGAAAUAACCCCUCCCCCAAUCAAGCACGAAGCUCAAAGGAGGUGGAAAUCAGGUGGAGACAUUUUCCGAAGGAAUUAAAAAGCCAACGCCGAUUUUAUUUCCCCCAGUCAAGCGUGAGUGAUGGGGCGGCAGCGCAAGGGCGAAGGAGUCCAUCGGACAAAGCUUGCAGAGAGGGUCAGUGGCCUGGAGGCAAGGGUGGCGGGGUUGGGGGUGGGGGUCACAAAAGUAGAGCAACUGAGCUCGCUGCCUAGCGGUGCCACUUCCCUGCUCUGCGAGGAGGCUAUCGUCGAAGGCCUGGAGACACCUUGACCCUGGAAACCCAAUCCAGCAGGUCCCUGCCUCCCCACAAAUAUCCCUCGCCCCAAAUCGCUGUGCGUUUUGUCUCCUCAAAGCGACGCCCAAUGGAUUUAUUCAGACAGAGUUCUUCGGAAGUUUUUCAGAUUUUUCAAUUUCAAGAAUUUGCAUGUUUUAAGUGAAGCUGAAACCGCGAAGG